rnacentral:tRNA from 1 species
GGGGUUGUGGCUCAGUGGUAGAGUGCUCACCUCACAUGUGCGAGACCCUGGAUUCGAUCCUUAGCACCACA